UGCUGGGAGAAAUUGUUGCUGGGUUACAGGGUUAAAUAGUCUUUCAAGACUGAAGUCAGCAGGACUGUGAGUUAGUAUCAGCCAGACGUGUUGCUGGGUUACAGGGUUAAAUAGUCUUUCAAGACUGAAGUCAGCAGGACUGUGAGUUAGUAUCAGCCAGACGUGUUGCUGGGUUACAGGGUUAAAUAGUCUUUCAAGACUGAAGUCAGCAGGACUGUGAGUUAGUAUCAGCCAGACGUGUUGCUGGGUUACAGGGUUAAAUAGUCUUUCAACCAGUUUGGAAAAGAGAAAACAGAACGUUCUGCUCCAUUGUUACACUCCCAUUGUGAAGUAGAAGGGUUCCAUUAUACUGUAUUAGAACACAACUGUACUUUAGAACCAGAAGAGACUCCACUAUCAACAUGAGAAAUGAUGGUCAACUGUAUAGACACACAUAGGUUGGGAUUCAAUCCAAUACUGUAUAGACACAUAGGCUGGGAUUCAAUCCAAUACUGUACAGACACAUAGGCUGGGAUUCAAUCCAAUACUGUAUAGACACAUAGGUUGGGAUACAAUCCAAUACUGUAUAGACAGACAGACAGGCUGGGAUUCAAUCCAAUACUGUAUAGACAGACACACAGACUGGGAUUCAAUCCAAUACUGUACAGACAGACACAUAGGCUGGGAUUCAAUCCAAUACUGUAUAGACACACACAGGCUGGGAUUCAAACCAAUACUGUACAGACAGACACAUAGGCUGGGAUUCAAUCCAAUACUGUACAGACAGACACAUAGGCUGGGAUUCAAUCCAAUACUGUAUAGACACACACAGGCUGGGAUUCAAUCCAAUACUGUAUACACACACACAGGCUGGGAUUCAAUCCAAUACUGUAUAGACAGACACACAGACUGGGAUUCAAUCCAAUACUGUACAGACAGACACAUAGGCUGGGAUUCAAUCCAAUACUGUAUAGACACACACAGGCUGGGAUUCAAACCAAUACUGUAUAGACAGACACACAGGCUGGGAUUCAAUCCAAUACUGUACAGACAGACACAUAGGCUGGGAUUCAAUCCAAUACUGUACAGACAGACACAUAGGCUGGGAUUCAAUCCAAUACUGUAUAGACACACACAGGCUGGGAUUUAAUCCAAUACUGUAUCGACACACAGACUGGGAUUCAAUCCAACACUGUACAGACACACACAGGCUGAGAUUCAAUCCAAUACUGUAUACACACACACAGGCUGGGAUUCAAUCCAAUACUGUAUACACACACACAGGCUGAUUUUCAAUCCAAUACUGUAUACACAGUAUAUACAGCAAGGCACUCAACCUCAAUUGCUCCAGGGAUGUCAUUGAUCAUGUCUGACCCUGUCUAAAGACCCCAGCUCUCUGUGGGUGUUGAUAAUGUCUGACCCUGUCUAAAGACCCCAGCUCUCUGUGGGUGUUGAUAAUGUCUGACCCUGUCUAAAGACCCCAGCUCUCUGUGGGUGUUGAUAAUGUCUGACCCUGUCUAAAGACGCCAGCUCUCUGUGGGUGUUGAUAAUGUCUGACCCUGUCUAAAGACCCCAGCUCUCUGUGGGUGUUGAUAAUGUCUGACCCUGUCUAAAGACCCCAGCUCUCUGUGGGUGUUGAUAAUGUCUGACCCUGUCUAAAGACCCCAGCUCUCUGUGGGUGUUGAUAAUGUCUGACCCUGUCUAAAGACCCCAGCUCUCUGUGGGUGUUGAUAAUGUCUGACCCUGUCUAAAGACCCCAGCUCUCUGCGGGUGUUGAUAAUGUCUGACCCUGUCUAAAGACCCCAGCUCUCUGUGGGUGUUGAUAAUGUCUGACCCUGUCUAAAGACUCCAGCUCUCUGUGGGUGUUGAUAAUGUCUGACCCUGUCUAAAGACCCCAGCUCUCUGUGGGUGUUGGUAAUGUCUGACCCUGUCUAAAGACUCCAGCUCUCUGUGGGUGUUGAUAAUGUCUGACCCUGUCUAAAGACUCCAGCUCUCUGCGGGUGUUGAUAAUGUCUGACCCUGUCUAAAGACUCCAGCUCUCUGUGGGUGUUGAUAAUGUCUGACCCUCUCUAAAGACUCCAGCUCUCUGUGGGUGUUGAUAAUGUCUGACCCUGUCUAAAGACCCCAGCUUUCUGUGGGUGUUGAUAAUGUCUGACCCUGUCUAAAGACCCCAGCUCUCUGUGGGUGUUGAUAAUGUCUGACCCUGUCUAAAGACCCCAGCUCUCUGUGGGUGUUGAUAAUGUCUGACCCUGUCUAAAGACCCCAGCUCUCUGUGGGUGUUGAUAAUGUCUGACCCUGUCUAAAG
ensembl:lncRNA